rnacentral:rRNA from 1 species
UACGGGGGGGGGCAAGCGUUGUUCGGAAUUACUGGGCGUAAAGGGCUCGUAGGCGGCCAACUAAGUCUGAUGUGAAAGCCCUGGGCUCAACCUGGGAAUUGCAUUGGAUACUGGCAGGCUAGAGUGCGGUAGAGGGUAGUGGAAUUCCCGGUGUAGCAGUGAAAUGCGUAGAUAUCGGAAGGAACACCAGUGGCGAAAGCGGCUUCCUGGUCCAGCACCGACGUUCAGGCACGAAAGCGUGGGGAGCAAACAGG